ACAGACAAGAUCAAUCUCACGCAACAUCUGACUAGAAGACAGCUAGCCGCCAUUCUACUAGCACAGUGUACUGUAUAUAUGCUCUGUAGGUGUACUGUAUAUAUGCUCUGUAGGUGUACUGUAUAUAUGCUCUGUCAGUGUACUGUAUAUAUGCUCUGUAGGUGUACUGUGUAUAUGCUCUGAAGGUGUACUGUAUAUAUGCUCUGUAGGUGUACUGUGUAUAUGCUCUGUAGGUGUACUGUAUAUAUGCUCUGUAGGUGUACUGUAUAUAUGCUCUGAAGGUGUACUGUAUAUAUGCUCUGAAGGUGUACUGUAUAUAUGCUCUGAAGGUGUACUGUAUAUAUGCUCUGUAGGUGUACUGUAUAUAUGCUCUGUAGGUGUACUGUAUAUAUGCUCUGAAGGUGUACUGUAUAUAUGCUCUGAAGGUGUACUGUAUAUAUGCUCUGUAGGUGUACUGUAUAUAUGCUCUGUAGGUGUACUGUAUAUAUGCUCUGAAGGUGUACUGUAUAUAUGCUCUGAAGGUGUACUGUAUAUAUGCUCUGAAGGUGUACUGUAUAUAUGCUCUGAAGGUGUACUGUAUAUAUGCUCUGUAGGUGUACUGUAUAUAUGCUCUGUAGGUGUACAGGUCAACCUG